GACGAACGCUGGCGGCGUGCCUAAUACAUGCAAGUAGAACGCACAGUUUAUACCGUAGCUUGCUACACCAUAGACUGUGAGUUGCGAACGGGUGAGUAACGCGUAGGUAACCUGCCUGGUAGCGGGGGAUAACUAUUGGAAACGAUAGCUAAUACCGCAUAAUAUUAAUUAUUGCAUGAUAAUUGAUUGAAAGGUGCAAUUGCACCACUACCAGAUGGACCUGCGUUGUAUUAGCUAGUAGGUGAGGUAACGGCUCACCUAGGCGACGAUACAUAGCCGACCUGAGAGGGUGAUCGGCCACACUGGGACUGAGACACGGCCCAGACUCCUACGGGAGGCAGCAGUAGGGAAUCUUCGGCAAUGGACGAAAGUCUGACCGAGCAACGCCGCGUGAGUGAAGAAGGUUUUCGGAUCGUAAGGCUCUGUUGUAAGAGAAGAACGGGUGUGAGAGUGGAAAGUUCACACUGUGACG
rnacentral:rRNA from 1 species